ACUUAACGUUUGGUAGACAUUAAUAGUGGUGGACAUUUAUUUAAUGGACGAAAGGUAGUGGACAUAAAGUCCUGGAAGCGAAAAAAAUAAUACGAUAAUGUAAUGACACUGUCUACUACACAGGCAAUCGCAACACUAUUGGAUACUGUCAACACCUCAGCAUAUUUUUUCCCUUACAUUUUUCGAUUUCCAUUUUUAACUCUAGUUUCAGUCAAUCCAGUCCUUAUUUUCAACUUUUUCACUUUAUCCCUGUACAAUCUUUAAUAAUGUCCCAUAAAAUUAAUUACUAGACUUGCAACUGAUACCUACAUAGAUUAUAGCCAGCCAAUCACGCGUAGCCUUGUUGUCUCACCACCCGUGACGUCAGCAAGACUAUAUAAGCGUGGGUCGCCUAAAAAUCGAGGUCUUUUACCAUCUCUACGACCCACGACCUGUUAGUGCAACUCUUCACUUCAACUUUAACGCUGUGUAACUUAGUGACAUUUAAUUUGUGAAAUCUGUGAUAUGUGCCUUCAUCACGUCAAUACAAGCUAUUUCGUCUGAA